rfam:Populus trichocarpa isolate Nisqually-1 chromosome 1, whole genome shotgun sequence.
AAACCAAAUGAUGAUUUUGGAUUCAAAUUUCUCACGAUGGACAUCUGAGACUCUUCAAGCUUCAGUGUUGAUUGAAUUACCCAAUACUCGUGAUGGUU